GGAGGAGGAGGGAUGGCUCUCCAGACUAGAAAGCUUUCUCUUCUGUCCUGCGUUGUUUUUUUCCGGGCGCGUUUGCAGGUGGAAUGUGUUCUUUUCUAUCAGAGUGAAACUGUCUUCAGAGAACCCGGCUUCAGAGAACCCCAUUCAUUCAACAUGUGAGUGCCAGAUCUUUUGGCAACUUCCUUCUAAAGACAUCCAGAAAGCACCUGCUGCUCAUGGCCUCCUCGGCUAGCCCCAGGCCUGGCUGCCAUCUCCCCCUGCAUCCCA